rfam:Lupinus angustifolius cultivar Tanjil contig_4178, whole genome shotgun sequence.
AGGUGCGAUCAUAAAACACUAAUGUUGCGGAUCCCAUCGGAACUCCGCAGUCAAGUGUGCUUGGGUGAGAGUAGUACUAGGAUGGGUGACCUCCUGUUGCACCUC